rnacentral:lncRNA from 12 species
GUUCCCAUCAUGGCAGUGAAGAGAAAGCACAAGGAGGACAUGAGAAGAGUCCAGGAGGAGAGGAAUCCCCAUCAUCAGAGAGGCGAUCAACAAAACCAGGUGAGUGCAAGAGUGGCAGACACUCCACUCCAGGAUCCUUUCUCUUGUUUUUUACAGAACCUCAAGGACCAGAUGGAUGCAGAGCUGAAGGAAGCUGCGGCUGAGAUUAAGGAAAAGCAGAAGUGGCUGGACGAAGAAUUAAAAAUUACGAGAGGGAAAUGUAAUCCUCUGCUUCAGGCUGUAGACAAGCAAGUGGAAGUGUUGACAUCUCACCGGCCUGCCUCCAAAGACUUUCGGCAAAUGACUGGAAACAAAAAGCCCCGUAGUCAGUGUGAGGCACAGGAGCGGUCCCAGUCUGAGACGCUGCAGGUUGGGCACAUCCCGAAGAUGGUGCAGGAGAGAAGGAUUCAGUGGGAAAAGGUAUAAUAUUUGAACAAGUGUGUCUGCAGCCCUUGGAGGGGGAAAGGAAGCCUUGGGAAGGAAGUGGAAUGGUCAUUGUGGCAGGCAUCCUUCAGAAAAUUCAUAAAAAUGGAACAUGAAUCUGGCCGUGAACUCGAGUAAAACCAGCAUUUGGUUUUGACCCAACCAGUUUGAGAAAGAACAUCAGAAAAAACCCGUUUAAGAGCCCUUCAUGUGGC